AGAGUUUGAUCAUGGCUCAGGGCUAACGCUGGCGGCGUGUCUUAGCCAUGCAAGUCGAGCGGGCCUGUGGGUUUACCUACAGGUCAGCGGCGGACGGCGGAGUAACACGUAGCUAACCUACCCCCUGGACGGGGAUAACCACUCGAAAGGGUGGCUAAUACCCGAUGGAGUCCCUAUCUGAGAUGGUAGGGAUGAAAGGUGGGCCUCUGCGGAAGCAAGCUCAUGCCGGGGGAGGGGGCUGCGGCCUAUCAGGUAGUUGGUGGGGUAAUGGCCCACCAAGCCUAUGACGGGUAGCCGGCCUGAGAGGGUGACCGGCCCGAGGGGCACUGAGACACGGGCCCCACUCCUACGGGAGGCAGCAGGCUAGAAAAUUGGGCAAUGGGGGAAACCCUGACCCAGUGACGCCGCGUGCAGGAAGAAGCCCUUCGGGGUGUAAACUGCUGUCGUGCGGGGCGAAGGGUCCAUAGGCGAAUAGCUUAUGGGCUUGACGGUACCGCAGGAGGAAGCCCAGGCUAACCUCGUGCCAGCAGCCGCGGUAAUACGGGGUGGGCGAGCGUUGCCCGGAAUUACUGGGUUUAAAGGGGGUGUAGGCGGUCCGGAGAGUCAGGUGUGUAAUCCAACCGCUCAACGGUUGGGCUGCACCUGAUACUUCCGGGCUAGAGGGCGGUAGAGGAGAGCGGAACUCCCGGUGUAGCGGUGAAAUGCGUAGAUAUCGGGAGGAACGCCGGUGGCGAAGGCGGCUCUCUGGGCCGUUCCUGACGCUGAGGCCCGAAAGCUGGGGGAGCGAAAGGGAUUAGAUACCCCUGUAGUCCCAGCCGUAAACGAUGGGCACUAGGUGUUCCUCCGAAGGGGGGAGUGCCGACGGGAAACCAUUAAGUGCCCCACCUGGGGAGUACGCCCGCAAGGGUGAAACUCAAAUGAAUUGACGG
rnacentral:rRNA from 1 species